CUUGUCCGUCACCCGUUAAAAUAAAACCCGGAUUGCCGCUAUUGCGGCGAUCGCAGGAUUAAUGGCGCUCCAGUCUGCCUCUGUAUUAGAGGCAAACCGGGAGCACCCGAUCAGGCUGCCCCAGCACCGAUGCUCGCUCUGACAGCCUGUCAGAGCGAGCACAUGUGCUGCAUAUACUCACCUUCCGCCUCCCUGCACUUCCUGGUUCUGUGUGAAGUGCAGGGAGCUGGAACAGUGAUGAUCCUGCCCCCUGUGUAAAAAAAAUAAAGUUAAUUUAAAAUCCCACCCCCCUUUACCCAUUUUAAUAAAAAUUAACCCCUUCCCUGCCAAUUGAUCACUGACAACAGUGAUCAAUUGGCAGAGAUUACAUUUUACU